rnacentral:rRNA from 1 species
AGUUUGAUCCUGGCUCAGGACGAACGCUGGCGGCGUGCUUAGCACAUGCAAGUCGAGCGAUGAAACUACUUCGGUAGUGAAUUAGCGGCGAACGGGUGAGGAACACGUGAGGAAUCUGCCUUCAACACUGGGAUAACUCCGGGAAACCGGGGCUAAUACCGGAUACGAGCCUUGAUCGCAUGAUCGAGGCUGGAAAGUUUUUCGGUUGAAGAUGACCUCGCGGCCUAUCAGCUUGUUGGUGAGGUAAUGGCUCACCAAGGCGACGACGGGUAGCCGGCCUGAGAGGGCGACCGGCCACACUGGGACUGAGACACGGCCCAGACUCCUACGGGAGGCAGCAGUGGGGAAUAUUGGGCAAUGGAGGAAACUCUGACCCAGCGACGCCGCGUGCGGGAUGAAGGCCUUCGGGUUGUAAACCGCUUUCAGUAGGGAAGAAGCGAAAGUGACGGUACCUACAGAAGAGGCACCGGCUAACUAUGUGCCAGCAGCCGCGGUAAUACAUAGGGCGCAAGCGUUGUCCGGAAUUAUUGGGCGUAAAGAGCUCGUAGGUGGUUUGAUACGUCGGGUGUGAAAUUCAGGGGCUCAACCCCUGACCUGCAUUCGAUACGGUCAAGCUAGAGUUUGGUAGGGGAGACUGGAAUUCCUGGUGUAGCGGUGGAAUGCGCAGAUAUCAGAGGAACACCGAUGGCGAAAGCAGGUCUCUGGGCCAAUACUGACACUGAGGAGCGAAAGCGUGGGGAGCGACAGGAUUAGAUACCCUGGUAGUCCACGCCGUAA